rnacentral:rRNA from 1 species
GACGUAGACCCGAAACCGGGCGACCUACCCAUGAGCAGGAUGAAGCGAAAGUAAAAUUUCAUGGGGGUCCGACCGCACGGGCGAUGAAAAGCUCGGGGAGGACUGGUGGGUAGCGGUGAGAGUACAGGCGAGCCCGGAGAUAGCUGGUUCGCCACGAAAUAGCUUUAGGGCUAGCCUCAAGGUGAGAGAUACGGAGGUAGAGCACUGAAUGUCCUAGGGGGUAUUGCACCUACCGAAGACUAUCAAACUCCGAAU